rnacentral:rRNA from 1 species
UACGUAGGGCGCAAGCGUUAUCCGGAAUUAUUGGGCGUAAAGAGCUCGUAGGCGGUUUGUCGCGUCUGCUGUGAAAAUCCGGGGCUCAACCCCGGACUUGCAGUGGGUACGGGCAGACUAGAGUGUGGUAGGGGAGACUGGAAUUCCUGGUGUAGCGGUGGAAUGCGCAGAUAUCAGGAGGAACACCGAUGGCGAAGGCAGAUCUCUGGGCCGUAACUGACGCUGAGGAGCGAAAGCAUGGGGAGCGAACAGG